CUGUGCUGAGGAAGACCACAGAAUGCAGGAUGGAGAGCAUUGGGAAGGACUAGGGUUUGGGAGCUGCCUUAAAAAACCUUCAGUUUGAGAGGAAGUGAUGGUCCCCUCCUGAUCUUGAGAGACACUGGUUAUGAAUAGGAGCAGUGAUGGAAUCGCAGCUCUCCUGCUGAGAGUGAAAUCUCUUCCUGAUUGAAGUCUGUGACAAAACUCCCAGCAGCUUCAAAGGAGAAAGAUCUCAGCGCAACAUCUUGAAUGCCUCUGAAAUCCACCCUUGGGCUGUUCAGAAAGUUCAAGGUUUUCUGAAGGUCCAGCAAGUCCUAAAACUGAGUUCAUGGGAAGGGAGUCACAUCCUUGAAUUCUACAAUACAAAGGUUACUUGUCAGCCUUAA
rnacentral:lncRNA from 1 species